rnacentral:rRNA from 1 species
UACGUAGGGCGCAAGCGUUGUCCGGAAUUAUUGGGCGUAAAGAGCUCGUAGGCGGUUUGUCGCGUCUGCUGUGAAAACCUAAGGCUCAACCUUGGGCUUGCAGUGGGUACGGGCAGACUAGAGUGCGGUAGGGGGUGACUGGAAUUCCUGGUGUAGCGGUGGAAUGCGCAGAUAUCAGGAGGAACACCGAUGGCGAAGGCAGGUC